UUUGAGAAGCCAUGUGGUAGGAUAUGGCAAUAAUAAUAUUGUUUUUUAGGAAUCCUUGCAUUAUUUUCAUCAAACAGGUCCUGGGAUCUCUAAGAUGAGUCUUGGAGGAGACUAAGGGUCAUAUUGGUGACCUUUGAAAAGUGAUUCAGAGAAAUCUACUUUUUUAUCCUGUUACUGUAGUUUUAAAUUUCCCUAUGGCAAAUGUAUAUUUUUGAAUCAAAAUUGUUAUUUCUGUUACAUUUGCAGGUUCAGAUAGAGAGGAGGUUUUAUUUUAUACUGACAGGGACUUUGUAAGAAUCCCUUCACCUGUCUGCAUCACUGUGGAAGUCAGAAGUAGGGGCUGUACCAGAGGGUAAGCAGUG
rnacentral:lncRNA from 1 species